rnacentral:rRNA from 1 species
GAUGAACGCUAGCGGGAGGCCUAACACAUGCAAGCCGAGCGGUAGAGAUUCUUCGGAAUCUUGAGAGCGGCGUACGGGUGCGGAACACGUGUGCAACCUACCUUUAUCUGGAGGAUAGCCUUUCGAAAGGAAGAUUAAUACUCCAUAAUAUAUUGAUUGGCAUCAAUUGAUAUUGAAAGCUCCGGCGGAUAGAGAUGGGCACGCGCAAGAUUAGUUAGUUGGUGAGGUGACGGCUCACCAAGACGAUGAUCUUUAGGGGCCUGAGAGGGUGAUCCCCCACACUGGUACUGAGACACAGACCAGACUCCUACGGGAGGCAGCAGUGAGGAAUAUUGGUCAAUGGGUGCAAGCCUGAACCAGCCAUCCCGCGUGAAGGACGACUGCCCUAUGGGUUGUAAACUUCUUUUGUAUAGGGAUAAACCUACCCUCGUGAGGGUAGCUGAAGGUACUAUACGAAUAAGCACCGGCUAACUCCGUGCCAGCAG